AGAGUUUGAUCAUGGCUCAGGACGAACGCUGGCGGCGUGCCUAAUGCAUGCAAGUCGCACGCAUCCUUCGGGAUGAGUGGCGCACGGCUGAGGAACGCGUGACUGACCUGCCCCGGUGUGGGGGAUAACAGGCCGAAAGGUCUGCUAAUCCCGCAUACGAUCACUUCGGUGAGGAAAGCCUUCGGGCGCACUGGGAGGGGGUCGCGCCCCAUUAGUUAGUUGGUGUGGUAAUGGCGCACCAAGACGAUGAUGGGUUCCGGGUCUGAGAGGACGAUCCGGCAGACUGGGACUGAGACACGGCCCAGACUCCUACGGGGGGCAGCAGCAAGGAAUUUUCGGCAAUGGGCGCAAGCCUGACCGAGCAACGCCGCGUGCAGGAUGACGGCUUUCGGGUUGUAAACUGCUUUCGAGUGGGACGAUACUGACGGUACCACUAAAAUCAGGUCCGGCUAACUACGUGCCAGCAGCCGCGGUAAUACGUAGGGACCAAGCGUUGUCCGGAAUUACUGGGCGUAAAGCGCGUGCAGGCGGAUGGGGAUGUGCCAUGUGAAAGCGCCGUGUUCAACGCGGCGAGGCCACGGUAGACACUUCAUCUUGAGGCUCCGAGAGGGUGGUAGAAUUCCCGGUGUAGUGGUGAAAUGCGUAGAUAUCGGGAGGAAUACCAAUGGCGAAGGCAGCCACCUGGCGGAGACCUGACGCUGAGACGCGACGGCGUGGGGAGCAAACAGGAUUAGAUACCCUAGUAGUCC
rnacentral:rRNA from 1 species